GGGAAGGCAGUAUGGUUAGCAAAAAGAACGUACGCUCCAUCCCAAACCUGCUUGAAGUCUCACGCCAACACCUCCACUUACUAUGCGAGUUUGGACAAAGCACUUAACCUCCCGAAGCCUCAGCUCCUUAUUCACCCCUGGCCCACCAGUCUGGACCCCAAGAUGGCUGUUCCUUGCUCAUAACCAAGCUGGAUGUCGUCAUGGCUACACAUGAUGCCUGGAACAGUAGCAGCAAUCUUGCAACCACAAGGAGAGAGAGCUAAGGGACAAGACUGAUAUGGUAAAUGUGGAGAGCGGAAAGCAGGAUCCUUGAUGACACCAUUGUG
rnacentral:lncRNA from 1 species